rnacentral:rRNA from 1 species
GAUGAACGCUGGCGGCGUGCCUAAUACAUGCAAGUCGAGCGAACGGACGAGAAGCUUGCUUUUCUGAUGUUAGCGGCGGACGGGUGAGUAACACGUGGAUAACCUACCUAUAAGACUGGGAUAACUUCGGGAAACCGGAGCUAAUAUCGGAUAAUAUUUUGAACCGCAUGGUUCAAAAGUGAAAGACGGUCUUGCUGUCACUUAUAGAUGGAUCCGCGCUGCAUUAGCUAGUUGGUAAAGUAACGGCUUACCAAGGCAACGAUGCAUAGCCGACCUGAGAGGGUGAUCGGCCACACUGGAACUGAGACACGGUCCAGACUCCUACGGGAGGCAGCAGUAGGGAAUCUUCCGCAAUGGGCGAAAGCCUGACGGAGCAACGCCGCGUGAGUGAUGAAGGUCUUCGGAUCGUAAAACUCUGUUAUUAGGGAAGAACAUAUGUGUAAGUAACUGUGCACAUCUUGACGGUACCUAAUCAGAAAGCCACGGCUAACUACGUG